rnacentral:tRNA from 1 species
GCCCAGAUGGCGGAACUGGUAGACGCGCUAGGUUGAGGGCCUAGUGACCGAUUUUGGUCGUGCAAGUUCGAUUCUUGUUCUGGGCA